GCUGCAGAACCUUCUAUGACUGGGUCUAUCUUUGUCUGCAUCAUGGCUCUGCAUGGAAAAGAACUGAACAGAGGAAGAGAAAUAUCUGAGGAGUCAUUGUACCACUAAUCAGGAGGUCUAGAAGGAGUCAUAGUUCCACUAAUCAGGAGGUCUAGAAGGAGUCACAGUUCCGCUAAUCAGGAGGUCUAGAAGGAGUCAUAGUUCCACUAAUCAGGAGGUCUAGAAGGAGUCAUAGUUCCACUAAUCAGGAAAUCUAGAAGGAGUCAUAGUACCACUAAUCAGGAGGUGUAAGGAGUCAUAGUACCUCUAAUCAGGAGGUCUAGAAGGAGUCAUAGUUCCACUAAUCAGGAGGUCUAGAAGGAGUCAUAGUUCCACUAAUCAGGAGGUCUAGAAGGAGUCAUAGUUCCACUAAUCAGGAGGUGUAGAAGGAGUCAUAGUUCCACUAAUCAGGAGGUCUAGAAGGAGUCAUAGUUCCACUAAUCAGGAGGUCUAGAAGGAGUCAUAGUUCCACUAAUCAGGAGGUCUAGAAGGAGUCAUAGUUCCACUAAUCAGGAGGUCUAGAAGGAGUCAUAGUUCCACUAAUCA